AUGGGUCGUGUGAUGAUCUACUAUGCAUAGUUCAGAUGAUACUCUGUGAUUAUCAAAUUGCAAGUCUUUCGCUCCUAUCUGAUGACCCAU